GACGAACGCUGGCGGCGUGCUUAACACAUGCAAGUCGAACGGUGAAGGGACCGGUUUUUGCUGGUUCUGGAUGAGUGGCGAACGGGUGAGUAACACGUGAGUAACCUGCCCCCUUCUUCUGGAUAACCGCAUGAAAGUGUGGCUAAUACGGGAUAUUCUGCGCCUGCUGCAUGGUGGGUGUGGGAAAGAUAUUGUUUCGGUGGGGGAUGGGCUCGCGGCCUAUCAGCUUGUUGGUGGGGUGAUGGCCUACCAAGGCGGUGACGGGUAGCCGGCCUGAGAGGGUGGACGGUCACACUGGGACUGAGACACGGCCCAGACUCCUACGGGAGGCAGCAGUGGGGAAUAUUGCACAAUGGGCGCAAGCCUGAUGCAGCGACGCCGCGUGAGGGAUGGAGGCCUUCGGGUUGUAAACCUCUUUCGCCAGUGAAGCAGGCCUGUCCCUUUUGUGGGUGGGUUGACGGUAGCUGGAUAAGAAGCGCCGGCUAACUACGU
rnacentral:rRNA from 1 species